AAACAAACCCACUCAGAUACACUGAAAUGUUAUCUGGUGCUCAGCAAAUAAACCACAACCAUCCUUACAACUCUUUCCAGUAUCCAAAAGACUUAGUCCCCUUGCCACCAAACCCUCUGGGCCAUCAUCAGGUAGGUAAGACAAGGGCAAUUUCCUCUUGCUGCGUAAAACGCUUCUGUAUGCCCCAAACCUUUAUCCUGUUAAGUAAUGACUCAGCUUUUGCCUGGGACUCACCCUUUCCCACAUUGUAAGACUAAAGCUGUCUAAGGCCUUCACAAGCUUUCCUAGCUGUGCUGUCUGUCAUCACUUGAUCAGCCACCCACGCUAGCACCUGUUCCUAUACCUUCCCAGCUGCCCAGCAUUUCCUUCCCAUCCGCUCUCUAUAAACAAUGCUAUUUUCAAGAUGCCCCACACUGACACAGGAGUCACUCCUUUACACGGUGCCAAGCCCCCCCC